AUGGACAGAGGUGCGUGGAAGGCAGCUAUCCAUGUGCCAGAACCUUGACUUGGUUUUUGAUAUCUUAUCGGUUUCAACUCUAGCCUACCCCAAUUUGUUUGGGACUGAAGGGCUUUGUUGGUGUUGUUGCUGUGUUAUUGUAGCCACUUUGGGUAUGGUUAAUCAGUUUGGAAGGAAGUAUUCCCUCCGAUCCAUAUUAAUUGUCGCUGAUUU
rnacentral:lncRNA from 1 species